GGGUGGUACUGUUAGUUCUUUCGAACCAACAAAUUACGACCUGGUGGCUUUUUCGAUCCACCUCUGAACUGUUUAAAGUCCCAUAAAGAAUGGAAGGACUUUCCAUCACAACCCAGGGUCUUGAACGCAGAGCUUGGACAAAACUUUUGGUUUGAAGAAUAAGAAAGGAGCAAAGCAACAGAAGUUUAUCAAGGCUGUCACACAUCAAGUUAAAUUUGGUCAACAAAAUCCACGUCAGGUAGCACAGAGUGAAGCUGAAAAGAAAUUGAAGAAGGAUGACAAGAAAAAAGAAUUGCAGGAGCUAAAUGAGCUGUUCAAACCUGUAGUUGCUGCUCAAAAAAUAAGUAAAGGUGCAGAUCCCAAGUCUGUGGUAUGUGCAUUCUUCAAGCAAGGACAGUGUACUAAAGGCGAUAAGUGUAAGUUCUCCCAUGACUUGACUCUGGAGAGAAAAUGUGAAAAGCGAAGUGUUUACAUUGAUGCAAGAGAUGAAGAACUUGAAAAAGGUGUGCAAGCAUUUCCUUGAAGCUAUUGAAAACAACAAGUAUGGCUGGUUUUGGG
rnacentral:sRNA from 1 species